AUGGAAACCUGUUUGAAGCUUAGCAAUUUUGAUACGCUGACAACAAACUCCAACGCGUAUUCAAAGACUUCUAUAGUGCAGAUAUUUAUGGUGCAUGUUUUAUCAAUAAUGAUGGUGCAUGUACACGGUCAGCCAUCCACUAAGCCCCUAUUGACCUACCAAAGACGUCGUGUUGUCACCCAAAAUCAGUCAGCUGACUCCCACGGGCCCCUUCGAGAAAGUUCUUCGACUGCUGAUCCAACACAGAAACCAGAAUCAGGCCCCUAUACGACACAGUACGCGCAUCCGUAA